ensembl:lncRNA
AAGCGCCCUCUGCGGGAAUGAAGUCAUCCUACCCUUUUCUGGGUGCGCCCAGAUAACCGACCAGAGCGUUCCUUUCCCAAGCUCUGGGGCCUGAGGACUUCCAGCUACUCCACCAGGUUCUCAGGUCCUGGACUCCGUCCUAAUUCCUCACCUCCUACUGCGAGCCUUGCACAGGACGAGAGAAGGCCUCUAGAGUAUGGAGGGAGCCAUCAGCUUGAUGCAAGCUCUUUGAAGCAGGAUAUAAAAACAUGAAGGCAACAGUCAGGCAUCAUAACAUUUUAUGGUGAACUGAAGAAACGCAGGCUUGCACAGGCCGGUUAACAUUUCAGAAGACAUGCCGGUGCUUGACCUAAAGCAAGGCGGCCCACAAGUGGACUGAAAAACAAUACUAGCUCUCUCUCACAGGGCUUGAGGAGGAGAGUGAUGAAGACGGUUUUUUUUUUUUUUUCCCCAGGUGGAAUAAAAACAAAAACAAAACCCAAAACCAACCAAACAAAAACACAGCCAAGAGGAUGGAGACCGAAGCAUUCCAUGUGGAGCCUCUACUGUUUUAGUUACCCUGAGAGAGGGGAGGACCCCUGACUUCAAUUGGAGAGAGACUACGUAUGCCCUUGGGAAGAAGGCAGCGUGGCUCUUUUCAGCCUGGAGCCGAACUGCUUCCAUGAGCCAGGCAUAAGGCUGCAAAGAGGACCAGAGGAGGAAAACACUGUAAUACUGAGAUAUCAGCAGGUUAACAAUUGUGAAUGCUUCCUUAGCUGGGUGAACCCAAUUCACCACCAGCAAGCAGGAAUUCACAGUAAAGAGUGAGCUCCAAGAACUAAACAGGCAGAGUUCUUUCUAGAAUAAACCAAGGUCGUUGUGGAGGUUGCUGGCAAGGAAGUCUGAAGUGGC